GUGCUCGCUUUGGCAGAACAUAUACUAAAAUGAGAACAUUACAGAGAAGAUUAAUGGCUUCUGCACAAGGAUGACAUGCAAAUUUGUGAUGUGUUCCGUAUUUCU
ensembl:snRNA U6 U6 spliceosomal RNA